CCUACGGGUGGCAGCAGUGGGGAAUAUUGCACAAUGGGGGAAACCCUGAUGCAGCAACGCCGCGUGAGCGAUGAAGGCCUUCGGGUCGUAAAGCUCUGUCCUAAGGGAAGAAUACUGACGGUACCUUAGGAGGAAGCCCCGGCUAACUACGUGCCAGCAGCCGCGGUAAUACGUAGGGGGCUAGCGUUAUCCGGAAUUACUGGGCGUAAAGGGUGCGUAGGCGGCCCUUCAAGUCAGAGGUGAAAGGCUACGGCUCAAACGUAGUAAGACUUUGAAACUGUCGGGCUUGAGUGCAGGGGAGGGAAGUGAAAUUCCCGGUGUAGCGGUGAAAGGCGUAGUUAUUGGGAGGAACGCCAGUGGCGAAGGCGGGCCUCUGGACUGUAACUGACGCUGAGGCACGAAAGCGUGGGGAGCGAACAGGAUUAGAUACCCUAGUAGUC
rnacentral:rRNA from 1 species